GACGAACGCUGGCGGCGUGCUUAACACAUGCAAGUCGAACGGAAAGGCCCUGCUUUUGUGGGGUGCUCGAGUGGCGAACGGGUGAGUAACACGUGAGUAACCUGCCCUUGACUUUGGGAUAACUUCAGGAAACUGGGGCUAAUACCGGAUAGGAGCUCCUGCUGCAGGGUGGGGGUGGGAAAGUUUCGGCGGUUGGGGCUGGACUCGCGGCUUAUCAGCUUGUUGGUUGGGUAGUGGCUUGCCAAGGCUUGGACGGGUAGCCGGCCUGAGAGGGUGACCGGCCACCUUGGGACUGAGAUACGGCCCAGACUCCUACGGGAGGCAGCAGUGGGGAAUAUUGCACAGUGGGCGGAAGCCUGAUGCAGCAACGCCGCGUGCGGGAUGACGGCCUUCGGGUUGUAAACCGCUUUCGCCUGUGACGAAGCGUGAGUGACGGUAAUGGGUAAAGAAGCACCGGCUAACUACGUG
rnacentral:rRNA from 1 species